rnacentral:lncRNA from 1 species
AAAACGAUUCUCCUCGAACUCAUCCUAUAAAAUUAUCUUUACCAACAAUGCAUUCUUGGAUAAUCCGCUUGGAAAGUCUUCCUUUUCGUUCCUAAUUUUUCCUCUCUCUUCUAUCCUUUAACUCUAUUUAGCAACAUAAUAACUAGAAAUCAGAACCUUCAAUUCAUUCAUAGCCAGUGUUUUUACUUUUGAGGGACUGAGUUAACAUGGAGGGCAUACAACACAGAAUUGUUAAGGUGAACGGCAUUAACAUGCACAUUGCAGAGAAAGGUCAAGGUCCUGUGAUCCUCUUCCUUCACGGCUUUCCUGAGCUCUGGUACUCUUGGCGCCACCAGAUCACCGCCUUAGCUUCCCUUGGCUACAGAGCCGUGGCUCCGGACUUACGUGGGUUCGGUGACACGGAUGCGCCGCCUGACGUGACCAGCUACACAUGUUUCCACGUGAUUGGAGACCUCGUCGGACUCAUCGACACCGUGGCUCCCAAUGAUGAGAAGGUGUUUGUUGUGGGACAUGAUUGGGGUGCGAUCAUGGCAUGGUUCUUAUGUUUGUUUAGACCUGACAGAGUCAAAGCUUUAGUCAACUUGAGUGUCGUUUUUAAUCCUUUUGGUUCUAUCAACAACGUGAUUGAGGCUCUGAGGGCUUAUUAUGGUGACAAUUACUACAUGUGCAGAUUUCAGGUAACUCGGAUGUCCAUUUCUCAAACGAUAUGGCCGUCUAUUAAAAUUAAUUAAUCUUCCGUGUGUAGUACUUCAAAUUAUGAAGUCAUAUGAUUUAAUUAUACUGUUAAAUUAUAUGGUUUAAUAAUUUUUUUAAGUUUUAACAAAUUUAGGAGUCUAAAUUUGUAUAUUUGGGAUAGGAAAAAUAUCCACCGUCCACUCGUUUUUUACAUCUUUUUUAAAAAUACACAAUUCUUUCAUUUUUUGGCUGGAAUUCACCUAAAGUUACAUUUUGUUUCACUUUUCCACUUCCAUUUGGAAUCCGUUAAAAAAACUAACGGAAACUUAAAAAAAUGAUCAUUUUACCCCUCAAAAUGAAAAUUACAAUUUCACCUUAAAAAUUGUAAAAAAAUAAUCAAAUUAAAUCUAAUUAUUUUUUCUAUUGGUCAAUAAAGAAAUUAAUUUCACAACCAUCCAAUGUAGGUUUUUUUUUAAAUAUAUCUGUAAUUAGAAUGCUAAAUUAUAACAGUAGUAUUAAAAAUAGCUCAAUCUCGCAAACCAUCAAUUGAAUUUAAGAUAAGUAGAGUUUUAUUAUUCAUUGAGUUAUAAUCUCUAGUAGUUAAGAUUUUUUUUGUACUUCAUUAAUGUACCAAUAAUGAUAUUCAUUAUUAAAUCUGAUUAUUUUAUAUAUUUUUUAGGGUGAAAUUACAAUUUUCGUUUUGGGGGUAAAAUUGUCAUUUUUUAAAGUUUACGUUAGUUUUCUUAAAGGAUUCCAAACGGAAGUGGAAAAGUGAAACAAAAUGUAACUUUAGAUGGAUUCCAACAAAAAAAUGAAGGAAUCGUGUAUUUUUGAAAAAAGUGUAAAAAACGGGUGGACGGUGGAUAUUUUUCCUUUGGAAUAUUUUCAUAUACGAGAAUUGAUCUCGCUCAAGAUAUUGAAUUUAUUAAAAUUCAAAAAAAUUAUUAAAACAUAUGAUUGGAUAGCAUUAUGCUAUUAUAUUAUUAAAUCACAUGGUUUAAUAACUUUUAUAGAUAUUAUACUAUUAAACUGUAUGUUUAAGUAACUUUCUCAAACUUUAAUAAAUUCAGGAUAAAAAUUAAAAUAUUUGUGUAUGCGCGCGCGAUAUAUAUGAUAUUAUGUUAUAUUAUUGUAUGCAGGAGCCUGGAGAGAUUGAAGCAGAGUUUGCGCAGAUUGGUACUGAGACGGUUAUUAAGGAAUUCUUGACAUUUCGGACUCCGGGACCGAUUAUUUUGCCUAAAGGCAAAGGAUUUGGGCAUCCACCAGUUGCUCCAAUGGCAUUACCCAGUUGGUUGUCUGAGGAAGAUGUUAAGUAUUUCACCGCCAAAUUUGACAAGAAAGGCUUUACCGGAGGAAUCAACUAUUAUAGAAAUAUUAAUCUGUAAUGCUCCCUUAUUCCUCACUCUCUACGUUUUUUUUUUUUUGUUAAAAGGAAGGCUAAUAUUGCAUUAACACAAAGAAGAAAAGAGAUACAAUAGUUCUGAAGGGUAUGAACCCAUCCACACAAUAGUUUCACAUUUUUCCAAAGCUAAUUUAGUUAAAGAAUGGGCAAUGGUAUUACAAGAUCUAUGGGCAUACUGAAUCUUAACAUGAUCAAAUCCCUUAAUUAAGUUCUGAAUUUCAGAUAUUACCCAAAAAAUUUCACAUCUGCUGCCCUGCAUGUUGUUUACAAGAUUGACCACCUCUUGAGAAUCUGAUUCAACCAUCAAACUCCUUGCUCCUGCUUGAGCUGCUAUCUGAAUUCCCCACUCCAUUGCUUCGGCCUCCACAAAAGCUACAUCACCAUUAAACUUAGAGAGCUUAAUUGCAGCUGCCAAAACAUUUCCAGCUUCAUCUCUACAUUUGAUACAUAGCUUUUUAAUUUUGUUAACUUUCAAUUGUGAUAUGAAAUUAUAAGCUAUUAAGUAAAAUUGCAUAUUACAACAUGCAUAUUUAUUAAAGGAAAAUGUUUGGUGUAGAGAAGCACGAGAGAAAGACGAGAGAAAUAAUGAAAAAAAGUAUAGAGAGAGAGUGAGUGGGUAGAGAGAGAGAGAGAGAGAGAGAGAGCAAAAUUCUCUCGUCUUUCUCUCAUGCUUCUCUCUCUCUAGCACUACCCUUUAUUAAAUACUAUCAACUUUUAAUUUUCCUUUCACAGCAUCACACUAUCAAACGAAACUAACUAUUGUGAUUUUAAUGUCAACCUGAAGCAAAAUAGUUUCAAAUAUAUCCUCUAUAUAUAUAUAUAGUAAAUCCUUUUCGUCAUUGCAGGAGCCAGGAACUUCUUGCACCGUGGGCGGGGAGUCGAUUACAAAUUCCGACCAAGUUCAUUAUAGGCGACCUGGACCUGGUUUAUCAUAUGCCAGGGGUGAAAGAAUACAUACACAAAGGUGGGUUCAAAAGAGAUGUGCCAUUGUUGGAGGAAGUAGUGAUAAUGGAAGGAGUUGGGCACUUCAUUAAUCAAGAAAAGGGUGAUGAGAUUAGCAAGCACAUUUAUGACUUCUUCAACAAGUUCUGAUUAGUUCUUUGCAUCUUCAUUCAUAUUUCCGCUUGGGUGUCUUUUUGUUUUAAUAAAGUUGCUGGGAUGUUCUUGUGCCGGCCUGUUCUAGUUUUUGAUUCACUAUAUACCAAGCUAUUAGUGGCUUCGACUUGUAAUUUCCGUAUUGUUGGAACAAUCAAAUAAUUUAGAGUGCCUUUGGUAUAUAAAGUUAUCUAAUAUAUAGAUAUUGAUAAAAGAAAUAUAUAUAAUUUCACAAACUAGUACAUGUAUUUAUAUAGUGUUAUAUAAAGUCAUCUUAAAAGUUUAAUAUUUGCAUUCUCUUUAAUUUUUUUUCUCAAUGUAAAUUCUAUAAAUAUUGUAUAAUAUACAAAUCAUUAUCCCAAACAAUCAUUAAAAAAAAAAUUGUUUCAUCAUGAAUUUUUAAAGCAGCAUAGCAUAUAUUGUUUAAAAUAUGGAAAUAAUUGUUACUAUGUAGAGCUAAGUUUCGUAAGAUAGUAUCUAGAAAAAAUUAAUCACUUAUUAUAAUGUUUACUUCAAUCUUAUUUAUAAUUUAAUCAAAUUAGGACUAAAUUUUUUUAUAACUAUAUAGAGAUUAUUCUUAUAUAGAGUACUACUAUAAUGAAAUUUUACUAUAAAGUAAAAUAUAUGUAAGCCCAUCUUUUGGUCUUAUUUAAUUUGUAUUAAAGUUUUAAAUGAAAAGAAGAAACGUGAGGACUAUGAUAAUUAUUAUGGAAAUAAAACAAAAAAGUUGAGCCCAAGUUUAAUUUACAAUGGAAGAAUACGAGAAAUAACAAAAAGGUUGUUUUCUACUCUUGUUCACAAAUUGUGCAUUUACUUCUUGCAUUAGAGAAUUGGAAUUAUUAACAAGUUUAUUUCACAAAAUGAGAGCGGAAAUCAGAAUACUCACCCCAAUUUGGGAAUGAAAAUUCUCAGGGGAUGGGAAUUAGAAUUAGAAAAAAACCCAGAUUAGGUUGGAGGCUUAAAGCCCCGGCACGCAUAGAUUGAGCCUAAAUAUGGGCCGCAAAAUUUAAAGUCCGCACAAGUUGGGUUAUGUCAUAAGAUGCCUUACAUAACAUUUUUUUUUUUACUGACCAUAAAAAUACCAAAUACCCUUUAUUCUUUUCUCAAAUUUUCAAUCAACCUCGUAGGGUUAUGAUGAAAUCAAUACAUGCUUAAUUGUGGGGAUGUCAAUGGCCAAAUCGGGCUAGGGCUAUGAGUCAGGGUCACCUCGAAAAUUUUGUGUACAUUUUGCUUGAAAUGCAGUUGCAGUGGAGUGGACAUCAUAAGAUCAAGCACUUCCUGGCCUUCGGCGUUUUUCAAUAUCAAAGUGUACAUCCAGGAGACCCGUUAUACCAGCUGUUAUCUUUUGACCAACUUUUACAGGGCCAACGCCCUGUGGAGUGCCUGCACAAACCGAAUCAAUAGAACAAUGUCAAACUUCAAUUAUCCAUAAAGACUUGCAUCCAAAACUGGGAGUGGAUUUGAAUAUGAUUAUGAAAAUUGGCGAGAAGGAUAUCUUAUGAAGUGAACACAGUAAAUAACAAUAAUGACACUAAUAACGUAACUUAUACACAGUGACAAUACACCUUCAUAAGCAUAAUAAGCUCUAACAUAUCAGUUAUCAGUAUUUAUACCAAGUAAAAUUGCGCGUAUAUGCUUCACCAAAGCAAAAAUGAAAUUUGGUAACAGAUUCCACUAUCAACUGAUAUGCCAGUUUAUGCCAAGACAUCAUAAUAUCUUGAAGCACCUAGAAAAAUUAACUUAUAAAGUAUGCUAGUGUUUUUAUUUGAAGGAAAAUGAACUGCAAUACCUGUUAAGUGUUAACAUGACAUCUCCUUGAACAAGUGUCACAAUUGAACUUAUGUGGCUAAUUAGAUAUGGUAUCUUAAAAAUCAUAUCCUUUGUGAAGCCUUUCUGUCGAAUCUCUCCAUCAACCUGCAGUGAAACACAUUUAAAGUUAAUCCACCCAGUGAAAAACAAAUUUGAAGCUUUGACAAAAGCCAUAAAGAAAUAUGAGAGUAAAGAGUAAUGAUUAUGAACCUUUAACCAUAGUUCUAAGUUGUGAGGGUCAGGCACUGCUGACUUUGGUAGCUGCAAAUAUAUUUUAAACAAGUCAAAAAGGAGUGUAUUUAGUAAACACAGAACAAAAUUGGCAACAGAAAAUAAAAUUCUCUUCCUCUCUUCUUUUCUACUAGCAGAUACAAGUAAAGGGUGCACCAAGCGAAGGAUAGAUGGUAAACCCUUGUCUGCUUUGAAAGAAAAAGACCAAUUUUCUUUUUCAAACUUCGACAAACAAGGUAUAGUUGUCAUUUUGAAGCACAAUUAUUUUGUUUUCCAUAACCUAUCCCAAUACCACAUUGGUGCUGUGAAUGGCCAAACAAAGAACUGGUGCAAAGAGUAAACCAAACUGUUUAAAAUUAAUUUUUCAAUAUUGAGCCUGAAAAUUGAGUACAACACAGCAUAGUUUCAGCAGAGAUAGAAACAUCAAAGUACUUCUUUCAGUUUCUUUCGAAAGAGCUAAUUGGUGUGAAGGUGUCCUGCCCUUUAGCCACUGGCCAUGGAAGACAUGCAGACGGACACAAUGGACAAAAAAUAAAUGAUAAGAAAAUACAGCAUUAUAAAUUGGAUGAAAUAAGAUAACUUAAUGUGGUCAUACACUUAUUGUUUCAUAAUGAAGCGCACAAGUAGUAUCCAAUCUUCUGAUUAUAAGUUGGUGUUGUUUCAGAAUACAAUUGAAUAAUACUUGAUCCUCAUGUUCAACAGCAUAACACAUUACAAAGGAAUAAACCCAUCUUCUCUCAUAGGCAUAAAUUCUCUCCAAAUCCAAAAGAAAAAAAAAUGUGUUAUUUAAUCGCCACGAAACACAACCGCAAAUAUUAGACAUUGAUUCGGAACCUGUCUAAUUACAUUACAAAACUUCCAAUUUGAGUAUUCUUUAAAUAUCUGAAAGAUUAAAAUUUAUCUAAAUAAUAAUCUCAUUAGCUGUUAUUAGAAAAUGUUGGGAUCCGGUUAUAAGAUUAUCCCCUUAGCGAUUCGGUUGUUAUUAUUCCAAUCCUCAAAAUUUCACCCAAAUUUGGUUAAGAAAUUGCUGAUAAGUCAUUUAAGGUGAUAUUUCCCGCUGCACUUUUUCAAUUGCAAGUGGUACGAGAGUAGACAGAUACCGAUCACCAGAAUCUUGGGUCGAGUGACUUAUCUCCUUAACGAAUUCUUCAUGUUCAGGACCUCGCUGCGAACUGAAAAUUUGGUAAAUGAAGCAAAAUCUAAGUUAAAAUGAUCUGCUUUAGAAUUUAAGGUUUCUUCAAAACCAAGGCGGAACGUUAGCAAAAAAUGUGCAUUUCUUUUCCUAACUAGAAGAUCUUGUACUGAUAUGAAUGACUUGCCUCGUUUACUUAUUUCUUAUUGGCUCAAAUAAGCUUUGACCAGCAAGCAUGAAGAAAGUUGAACAACAGCCAGUGAAGUAAGUUGUAUUAUCAUCUGGUGAAUCUGUUUUAGCCUGCUGCUGCACACGAGUAAUUUGAUAUGAUAACAAUUUAAAACUACAAUGCAAUAUGGAAACAGAAGUUUUAAGGGGCACUAACAGCUUGCAUUUGGUAACUUUGUGCUGUUGAUGGCUCAGAGUUCCCACGACUUCUUCUCUCAUUCACAAGAAGAAGUGCACAUUUUCUUGUAAAGAACAGAAGCAGCACUCUCACAAAAAACGUAAUAAAGAAUUCGACGAUAAUGCCUGAUCCUAGAGCUGCAUUUAUAGGAAAAGGUUAGUGAGUACAAAUCUGUGAAAUGGAUAGUAAUCAAAAUGACAACUAUCACUUAUUAUGAACUAACUCUGAACUCAUUGGCCUUCUAGUUUACGGUAGCCUCAACGAAUAAAGGUAAUGACAUUUUCUCAGUACAACCUGGACAGCAACCAUAAUGUCCCAUAUCGUUUAAUUUUACUUUUAAAAGAUCAUGUCCUUCACCACUCUAAAUGCAAAGAACAGAUGGCUAAUUCAAGAUCAUUGAUAUUUUCUUUGUGGUGUGCUCUAUGAUUGUGUUUUCCUUCAAAAUUAUACUAUAAACUUCAAAGCAAAAAAUGCACUUGAUAAAAGAGUUGUUGUGCUCUUUACCAAGCUCUUAUGAGCACCUGGUUGACAUUCUCAUGUAUGGGAGACAGUCCCUCUCGAUGGUGGAUGUGAAAGAGACAUUGAGUUUCAAGGCUGCAACCAAGAAAGAAGCAAGUCAUGGGGAAUGAUUGACAGUUAGAGGGAGGCCAGGAAAGAGAGAAAAUGGUAAAGGAAAGAAGAAAAGAUCCAAGUCCAGACCCAAGAAUAUGAAGUGCUUCCAUUGGCAUAAGGAAGGUCACUUCAAGAAAGACUGUCCAUAGAAGAAUUAUAAAAGCAAAGAAACAAAAGAGAAGAUUGGUGAUGCUGUUGUUGUAUCAGAAGGACAAGAAUCUGAUGGUUAUGACUCUACUGGAGUUCUCAUAGUCUCUGAUGGUGCAUUUAGAGGUAAUUGGGUAUUAGAUUAUGGUUGUUCAUUUCAUAUGUGCCCUAAUAAAACCUUCUUUAAGAACUAUGAAACCUAUGAUGAAGGGAUAGUUGUAAUGAGAAAUGAUGCUAGUUGUAGGGUAAUUGGCAGGGGCACCAUUAAACUGAAAAUGCUUAAUGGCACAAUAAGAAAAUUAACAAAUGUUAGACAUGUCCCUGAUUUAAAGAGAAACUUGAUUUCUCUCAGCAUGCUUGACAAAAUGGGGUGUGUUAUCAAGCUCGAGUCAGGUACUUUAAAGGUGUUGAAAGGGUCUAUGGUGUUGAUGAAAGGAAACUUAGACAAUGGCCUGUAUGUGCGCCAGAGGUCUGUAGUCACAGGAGAUGUUGGAGUUUCAAACCAGAAUCUAAACAAAACUUUAUUGUGGCGCUUUAGAUUAGGCCAUAUGAGUGAGAGAGGCUUGAGAGAACUAUCAAAACAAGGAGUCUUAGGUGAAGAUAAAAUAGAGCCCUUGGAAUUUUGUGAGGAGUGUGUCCUAGGCAAAUCCUCAAGAGUUAAAUUCAGCACUGGUGCACAUAUUUCAAGAGGAACUCUAGAAUACAUACAUGCUGAUCUGUGGGGACCUGCACAGAUAGCAUCCUUAGGAGGGGCAAGGUACUUUCUAUCUUUAAUUGAUGACCAUUCCAGAAUGGUUUGGGUGUAUGUGCUGAAAAACAAAGAUGAAGUGUUAAGAAUUCAAAAACUGAAAAACAUUGAUUGAAACUCAGACCAACAGGAAGGUUAAGAAACUCAGAACUGAUACUGGUUUAGAAUUCUGCAACAAGAGGUUUGAAUAUUUUUAGAGCAAGCAUGGAGUCAUGAGGCACAGAACAGUAAGAUAUAUAUCUCAGCAAAAUAGAUUAGCUGAGAGGAUGAACAGAACCUUAGUUAAUAAAGUAAGGUGUAUGCUCAUUUAUUAUAAGCUACCCAUGUCCUUGUGGGCUGAGGCUCUAUCAACAACUUGUCACAUUGUGAACAGAAGCCCUUCAACUGGAAUUAACUUCAAAACACUAUUUGAAUUUUGGUAUGGUAAACCAGCAGAUUAUUCCAGUUUAAAGAUCUUUGGCUGUCCAGCAUAUGCUCACAUCAAACAAGGAAAAUUAGAGCCCAGGGCAUUGAAGUGUGUAUUUCUUGGUUACCUUGAAGGGGUAAAAUGGUAUAAACUAUGGUGCACAUACAUGAAACCUCCAAAAGCAAUCAUAAGCAGAUAUAUAGUAUUUAAUGAAGCUGAGAUGCUCCAACACUCAGUAUCUUUAAAGACUACAAAUGUAGAACUGGAAGAUAAAGAUGAGAGAUCUUAUCUUGAGGUGGAGCUGUCAAACUCAAACCAGAAACAGAAAUCAAGAUCAGAGGCUGGAGAUGUAAUAGACAUGGAAAUACAUGAUACUGAGAAUGAAACAGCAAGUGAUCAGGGGAGAAGUGAAGAUUAUCAGUUAGUGAUGGACAAAGGAAAGAGAGUAAUAAAACCUCCUAGAAGAUAUGCAUAUGCAGAUCUAAUUUCAUUUGCAUUAACAGCAGUGCAUGAAAUAGCAACAGAUGAACCUAGAACAUAUUCAGAAGCUAUUAACAGUGAUAAGGCAGAAGAAUGGAUCAAGGCUAUGGAUGAGGAAAUGAUGUCUUUGAAAAAGAAUCACACCUGGAAUCUCAUUGAAAGACUAGCAAACAAGAAGGUAGUAGGGUGCAAAUGGAUCUACAGGAUAAAGGAAAGAAUACCAGAUGUUGAGCCACAAAGAUACAAAGCCAGGUUGGUUGUAAAAGGCUUCACUCAGAAAGAGGGGGUUGACUUUACAGAAGUUUUCUCCCCAGUGGUGAGAUAUGCUUCCGUGAGGAUCCUGUUAUCUCUAGUGGUUGUACAAGACAUGCAUCUUGAACAGAUGGAUGUGAAGACUGCCUUCCUGUAUGGUGAAAUAGAUGAGAUGAUAGUGAUGUCACAACCUGAAGGGUAUGAGGAUCCAGAAAAGGCUGAUCAUGUAUGUCAUCUAAAGAAGUCAUUAUAUGGACUAAAACAGUCUCCAAGACUGUGGUACCUAAGAUUUGACAGGUUUAUGUCAGAUCAUGGUUUUCAAAGGAGCAGUUUUGACUGCUGUGUCUACUUUAAAACCAUAAAAGAUGGUGACAAGAUCUACCUACUGCUCUAUGUAGACGACAUGUUAAUAGCUUGUAAUGAAAUGGAGUUCAUAAAUGAAUUGAAACAGCAGCUGAGCAAUUCAUUUGAGAUGAAGGAUCUGGGUGCUGCAAAGAAGAUCCUUGGUGUUCAGCUGAAGAGAGACAGAAAGAAUGGUAUCCUAAGCCUAACACAACAAAAAUACAUCAGGAAAGUACUUGAGAAAUUCAAUAUAGAUAAAUGUAAACCAGUACAGACUCCAUUGCCCUUUCAUUUCAGACUGUCCUGUCAACAGUAUCCAAACUCUGAUGCUGAUAAAGCUGAAAUGAAUAAAUUUCCAUAUUCAAGUACUAUUGGAUGUUUGAUGUACGCAAUAGUCCUGACUAGGCCUAAUCUCUCUCAUGCAGUGAGCGUAGUAAGCAAGUAUAUGGCAAACCCAAGGAAAGAUCAUUGGAGGGUUGUAGUAUGGAUCUUCAGAUACCUUGCUGGUACAACUUAUUAUGGUUUGAUCUAUGGAGCUGAGAAAUAUGCAGAGGUUAGUGUGGAGGGUUAUGUAGAUGCAGAUUAUGCUGGAGAUCUGGAUAAAAGAAGGUCUUUAACAAGUUUUCUGUUUAUGCGUAAUGGUUGCACCAUAAACUGGAAGGCUUCACUGCAGAGUGUUGUUGCUCUGUCAACAACUGAGGCAGAAUAUACAACAGCUGCAGAAGCAAUCAAAGAAGCUAUUUGGCUCAGAGGGAUGGUGACAGAAUUGGGAUUUGAACAAAAACAAAUUACAGUUCAUUGUGACAGCCAAAGUGCUAUAUGUCUGAGCAAGAACCAGAUACAUCACGAAAAGACCAAGCAUUUUGAUAUCAAGCUUUACUUUGUCAGAUUGGAAAUAUCAAAGGGUGUGAUUAAGCUGGCUAAAAUACACACUGAUAGCAACAUUGCUGACAUGCUCACCAAAGCUGUACCAGGAGCUAAGCUUGAGUUCUGCUUGAACUCAGCUGACAUCUGCAGGGUAUAGACUGCAGAAAAGAAGUGGAAUGAUGAAUCUGAAGAAUGGAUGAUUUGAGUUCAAGGUGAAGAAUGUUGAAUAUGAACUACAAAUCAGUUUAUAGUUAAGUGCGACAAGUCGGUUGAAGAUUUGUCAAUACCAUGACAUGCCGGUUGACAAUCCUGAGAAGGGUAUAUGACAAGAAUAUCAUGUCAUCUGUGUGUGCAAAGAAGACAUGUGAUUUCGCAUGUGACUCACUUAAACAAAACGGCUACUUGAACUGUCGUUUUAUUACUUCGAAUAACAAAGAUGAAGACACGUGUGAUGGAGGCUUAUCAAAAGUCUGUUAAGCCGUUAAUUAGUGCGGGAAGCUGCUGAUCUUCGUCACUGAACACAGGGGAAGCUUGCUGGUGAUUGAGAGUCCAUCUUGAUCGAGCAUUGCUUAUAUAUACAACUAGGUAUUCUGGAAUAAGUCAUGUUUUUCAUGUGUGGUUAGCUUCUCUGAAUAAGCUUGUACUUUGUAAGACACUCAUUCAAUACAAACUUGGAUUCAUCCUUUCACAGUGGACGUAGGCUUCCAUAGCCGAACCACUAUAAGCUUUCUUUGGGUUAUUCUUUCUGUUCUUAAAUUCUUUCAUUGUUUUGCUUUGAUUGUUGGAUUGUUUAAGCAUCCUGUAACUGAGUAUAGAUCACCUUAGUUUUAGAUACAAGAACCCUUUUUUGAGUGGGUUUUGGUGUGCAGUUAUCAGUUCUUUACUGGUCUUUGGCACAACAAGAACAAUAUAUUCAGGGACUUGAAUAAAUGGAGAAUCAUUAACUGGAUCCACAAAAACCAAAACCGCCAAAUCAUUUGUCCCAUUCUUGUUCCUGGCAGAGACUAGAAUUGUGUCCUCACCAUAAAAGUUUUUGUUUCUGAACUAAAAAAAUGAAAAAAAAAACGAGUCACUAGUAAGGUAUGAAUAAUGUAAAGCUUGAAAAGUCCAUAAGAGUAUUAAUCCAGGAGGUAAUACACGAGAUAUUAAAUCAUAUCGAGUGAGUGAAUAAUACUGGCUGUCACUUCCUUUGUGAAUGGAUGGCCCCCAUUCAAAAAAAUAUUUGCGCAGAGUACAAGAAUUUUAUAAAUUCCACUCUUUUCAGGAGUAUAAGUAACAUCAAAAGCUCUGGCCUGAACUUUCAGUUUGCCGGAAGACUGGAUUCAAGGGGUUUUUUUUUUUUUAUUUUAAAAAAAGCAUCACUCCAGAAAAUCUUAUGUAUGACUUCUCAAAGAAAAUAUGUGAAUUUGUUUCUUUCAGUGUUAGUUGCGUCGACAGACAGCGAGGGAGCAAUUUCUAUCUGGUCAAUAAUGCCAUUAGUUGGUUCUAUUAAUCUUCCAUUUCUAAAACGAUAGGGCUGAACUCUUCGAUAUGAUAUUAUAUUAUUGUAUGUAGUCAGAUAACAACAAUGUAAUAUUAGCUUUAGACUGCUUAUAAGACUUUUAACUUAGAGAUGUUUCUGUGACUAAUUUAUUAUCACAUACAUUAAUCCGGAUCUGCCGAGCCAUGUCAUGUGGGAAUUAAAAACAGAGAGCAGCACAGCAUACAAGAAAAUAUUCUGAAAUGGUGCCCAAAUUCAACAACCAAUAAACAAGCAAACUUGAAUCUUGUAAUUUUUUUUUUAUUCUUUUAUCUAAUAAGCCGGUGGUGUCUAAUCCAAAUCAUACUUGUCUAUCUCAGUACAGCUGCCCGAGAUGGGCCACAUUGCAAUGCUUUUCAAAAUUUCUCUGAAAUAGUUGUAUUUUCCGACACGUAAUUGAAUGAGUUUCAAUUCAAUUAAAUGAUGAUGUUACAGCUCACGCCCUAAAAAGUAACGUACAAUCAUAGAAAUAAAGACGAGGGAAGAUAAUUUUGGUGCACGUAUCUAUAUGUGGGUGAUGCAAAACGAUUCUCCUAGUCCUCAUCCAAUAAAAUUAUAUUCUUAGAUAAUCCGCUUGGAAAGUCUUCCUUUUCAUUCCUAAUUUUUCCUCUCUUCUAUCCUCUAGCUUUAGUUAGCAACAUAAUAACCCGAAAUCAGAACCUCUAAUUCACUCGUAGGCAGUGUUUUACUUUUGAGGAACUGAAUUAACAUGGAGGGCGUACAACACAGAACUGUUAGGGUGAAUGGUAUUAACAUGCACAUUGCAGAGAAAGGUCAAGGUCCUGUGAUUCUCUUCCUUCACGGCUUUCCUGAGCUCUGGUACUCUUGGCGCCACCAGAUCACCGCCUUGGCUUCCCUUGGCUACAGAGCCGUGGCUCCGGACUUACGUGGGUUCGGUGACACGGAUGCGC